AAUAGAUACCCAGGUAGUCCACGCCGUAAACGUUGGGCGCUAGAUGUGGGGGCCAUUCCACGGUUUCCGCGUCGUAGCUAACGCAUUAAGCGCCCCGCCUGGGGAGUACGGCCGCAAGGUUAAAACUCAAAGGAAUUGACGGGGGCCCGCACAAGCGGCGGAGCAUGCGGAUUAAUUCGAUGCAACGCGAAGAACCUUACCAAGGCUUGACAUAUACGAGAACACUGCAGAAAUGUAGGACUCUUUGGACACCCGUAUACAGGUGGUGCAUGGUUGUCGUCAGCUCGUGUCGUGAGAUGUUGGGUUAAGUCCCGCAACGAGCGCAACCCUCGUCGCAUGUUGCCAGCACGUAAAGGUGGGAACUCAUGUGAGACUGCCGGGGUCAACUCGGAGGAAGGUGGGGAUGACGUCAAAUCAUCAUGCCCCUUAUGUCUUGGGCUUCACGCAUGCUACAAUGGCCGGUACAAGGGCUGCAAUACCGUAAGGUGGAGCGAAUCCCAAAAAGCCGGUCUCAGUUCGGAUUGAGGU
rnacentral:rRNA from 1 species